GCCGUCCCACGCGCUUCCGUGAUUGGAGCGUCGAAAUCCUCCUCCUUGAUCGCGCGGUCGCGGGCGCGGGGGCUGAGACUCAGCUGCGUGCCUGCGUCACGCGGUGAUCGCGCGCAUCCGCCUGCCAAAUGGUUUCUACUACGGGGAUUGACGGCACGCACGUCGGGGAUUGACGGGCGCUGGUCGGCGGCCAUGCGAUAUCUGCUGCGGCGCUCGCUGGUCCGUGGUUAUAGGGUUUAGGUUUGUUGCUCUUCGCCGCUUCCCUGAUCUCUGCUUCGCUUCGCUACUUCGCUACUCCAACAAACAUUCACAGCCCGACGGUAACUCGGAACACGUCCUCAAGGAGGCAGACGGCGACUCGGGGGGAGGCGGCCGGCGUGGGCGGCGGCGAGGGAGCUGCGGCGGACGCGCAGCUGGUGGAGCUGGAGGGGGCACGGGCUCGCGCCGAGCGGCCCUAUGGCAAGCGGCGACGAGUCGUCGAGGGGGCGCGUGGCCGGAUCCACGAGAUCCGUGCUCCAUGGCGGCGGCGGCCCCCGAGAGCCGGCUCCGGCGGUGGAACGGCGACGAGGAGACCUCCAUCGAAGAACCCUCUUGGUAGGCUCCCAUCUUGCUGAAAUCUCGCAAUCCAAAGAAUUCCACGCCAAUUUGCUUCCCCUACUCGAGGUUCUUGGCGGAAAUCGAGAAAACGUUGCAUCUUGUUUGCUUGCUCUGCUUUGGAUGCUCGUGGCUCGUGGGGAGGGAGCAGAGGACGACCAAUAAUAGUGGCAUGAUUGACAAAGAGCUGUUGCUGCUCCUGCCGCCGACGCUUCCACUUGCGCCGCGCCGCGUCCGCCGACAUCUGCGGCUGCGGAGGCUGCAGCACCGCCGCCGCGUUCUCCCCGGCCGACGUCUCUGAUGUGUUGAGCUGCAGCGCAUCCGCGGUGGCCACGCCCGUGAGGUCGGCCAUGGCCGUUUCUAGGAUGGCAUUGUCGUGCCGGUGAGGCCGAAACCGGAGCCCGUCUGGGCGCCACCCGCGCCACUGCUUCCCAGCUUGUAGUUUGCAGGAGGCGGCGGUCAGGCGGUGGAGGAGCCGCUUCUCUAGGAGCUUCUGUACCGGCUGGUACCCGCCGCGCUCGAGUUGCCCGGUACCCUGCUCCUCUCCCUUUGUCUCCAGAUUAGUAGUACACGGCAGUCAGAAGGCCCCAUUUCUAAGCUUGAUCCCAUUCUACAAUAUCUGCAGUGUGAUCCGGUGUUAUCUCUGACAAAAUCGUGCAUCUUCGUAGGGAGUAUGCUUGUAAUUGUGUGCAUGCCAGGUGCUGCUCUUCUCUACCGCUAGACUUGGAGGGCAAGAUGAUGACAGACGUGGGAUAAAACAUUCAAGGUUUUACAGGCAUUUAUGCAAGAAAAAAGCAAUUUUGUCAAUCUUGCCGUAUUGACUGCCAAAGAGAAUCAUCAGUGUUAGGUUCCAUUAUCUGACGCAUAGGAUGGUGAUUUAAUCCCUUCAUCAUAAAUGAGCUUUUGUUUUGUUACCUUUCACAGGUGCCUGGAUGAAGCUGCAGAAAGUGUCUUUGCUUCUUUUUGUGGGGUAUUUGUGACUGUCGGCCGGCUUUUCUUGCUGUCUUAAAUCUUCGGACAUAUAGUUUGGAAUCUUGAUUGAAAUGUCUCUGUUCCAUAUCAGCAUCAUGGAGAUAUGGUGCCUUUCUAUUGCCCAUUUAUGGAUUAUACAUGGUCCAUCUAUUGGAUCAUGGGUAAAAUUUUUCUUUAACCAUGAUUGCUUGCAGUUUAAAUGUGGUUGUUUAUGAAGUCAAUCUCCCUCGAUUCUAAGAGCUCAACUUUCAUUAUGCCAAAAAAAAGAAAAUGUUCACCAGCAGCUCAAUAUAUAAUUUCACUCUCAAAUAGUCUAACAUGUCAUCAGCUUGAUCGGAUUACAGAAGCAUGAGGGCCUGUUCUUUUCCUUCCUGUGAUCUUUCUAUAUUUCCUUUCCAUAUGCUAAACUGUGUCAGGUUGCCGUUAGAUGCAUGGUAAAUUGACUCUCCUGUGUCAGCUUUCACAUAUAACAUAAAAUACUUUGGGGUUAUAAUCUCUGCUAAUCCCUACUCAGCGAGGAACAUUUAACCUAAAGGAUGGCAUGAAAUUGAUAUAGGACUUCUUGUCCAACAUAAACGAGUAGUCUGUGUGUAUAUGUAUUAUAUUUUCUGCUUGUAGCAUUUUCAGUUUGUUACCAGUGUGCAUCUCAAAGUAUAAAUAUGAGAUUUGGCAUUGUCUUUGGCAAGGAUCCAGAAAAAACUUGUGAACCUAAACUGUGGAUAUCAUUUUUGUCAUUUGAAUAUCUUGUAACACAUCUAUAUUGUUUUGCGGAAUGUGUAAUUCAACCUCCAGUAUCUAAGCCAUGCUGAUAUUGAUGAGAGGAUAAACA